rnacentral:rRNA from 1 species
GAUGAACGCUGGCGGCGUGCCUAAUACAUGCAAGUCGAGCGAACAGACGAGGAGCUUGCUCCUCUGACGUUAGCGGCGGACGGGUGAGUAACACGUGGAUAACCUACCUAUAAGACUGGGAUAACUUCGGGAAACCGGAGCUAAUACCGGAUAAUAUCUUGAACCGCAUGGUUCAAUAGUGAAAGACGGUUUUGCUGUCCCUUAUAGAUGGAUCCGCGCCGCAUUAGCUAGUUGGUAAGGUAACGGCUUACCAAGGCAACGAUGCGUAGCCGACCUGAGAGGGUGAUCGGCCACACUGGAACGGAGACACGGUCCAGACUCCUACGGGAGGCAGCAGUAGGGAAUCUUCCGCAAUGGGCGAAAGCCUGACGGAGCAACGCCGCGUGAGUGAUGAAGGUCUUCGGAUCGUAAAACUCUGUUAUUAGGGAAGAACAAAUGUGUAAGUAACUAUGCACGUCUUGACGGUACCUAAUCAGAAAGCCACGGCUAACUACGUG